GCUGCCCUCAACGUGGUGGGUGUGGACUAUAGGAGCCCUCAGAAAUAAACUGAUAUCAAUAAUUAAUAUGGAUGGUGAUUGUGGCAAGGGUGCCUCCAUAAGGUGCCAUCCAGAAGCCCCAGCCUGGAGCCAG